UUAGGUUUAUACAACAAAAAACACUUGGUUACUUUUGCAAACUCCAGUCUCCGGGGUGAAAGACCUGUGUUUUGUUGCUAGAGGUCGUGUUCUUUUAUACCUUCUUUCGGCGAUCUACCAUGUGAAUAGAUGAUAAAACCUACUAGCGGGUCUAGUAGGCCCCUAUUGACCCACAUCUAUGGGGCUUAUAGCGACUGAUAAUUUCUAUUUAAUAGCCUAACAACAGUCUAAUCGGCUGGUUUUGAGGGCCUUCUUGAAUGAUGACAGUUUUGAUUUGGUUUGGUAAUGAAUCUCUGAAUCCCACAGAGACGGGGUGACGACUGAAAAUGUCCUGUCACCACCAGGUUCGGCACUUGGUCCUAUAGAGACGUGCAGGAGGUUGGUGUCAGCAGACCGUGACGGCAUCAGGAGGAGCCGUGCUUGUGGAGGAGGUCGGAGAGGAGCCGGGCUGUUGAGGCCUUUCGAAGUGACGGCGCAAAUGCAGAAGACCAGAAAACGCUGACCAAUCAGAGCAGACAGAAGGUGAAUACAGCAAACUCAGGAGCUGAAGACAGCAAGGCCUUACCGUGUUUCUCUGUCCGCUGGCUCCUAUUGGUCCUCUGAACACCCCCUUGAUGCUCCUCAGCUGUCCGUCACGCAGGUGGGUGGAACUGAUCACAAUGUAGUAGCACGCCAUCAGGUUCGAGUGGGUUUCAUACACUCAGAUAUCUAUCUGCACUUUGAAGAAAAAGUCUUCUUCAACUCUGUCCCGCUCUCCUCAUGGCGUCCCUCCUCCUCCUUGUUUUAUAAAGUAGAAGAGAAAUAAAGAAAUCUCUAAGUUUCUGCUCAGCUCUUUAAAUAUUUCACCCUCUGCUCCUCCUCUGCUUCCACUCUCAUCUUCUUGUCGUUGUCUAAAUGUUUUUUUUAUUCUUCUUCUUCCUCCUCCCUCUAGCUCUGCCUUUUUAAAUAUUUCUCUCUCUUUUUACAUCUCCAGAUGUUUUGCUCCCAUCUUUCAUUCAUCAAUCUUUCCUUGUCAUUGACUCCCCUCGCUCUUUUUCUUGCUGAGUCUUCCCGAAAUCUCAGCGUCUCAUUGAUCAGUUGCUCUAACUAUCUGCCGUCCGCUGCCUCGCUCUCUUCCUCACUUCACAAUCUCUCCGGUUUCCCCCUCCCUCUUUGUCUCUAAGUGGAUGGGAGGGAUACUUUUGUUCUGCCCAUCUCCUCUCAGUGUCUUUGUUUUCUGUCCUCGUCUCUUGUUAGUGAUGAGAAGAGAAGAGAAGAAGUCUUCGAUCAGCCUCCUCUCAGAUGCUUCCUCUGCUGCGCUGCAUGUGUUCGCUCUCCUCCUCCUCCUCCUCCUCCUCUCCGCUGAUCUCUUGCUCCGUGGCCAGCAGAGUGGUUUGCUCCUCAGUUACCCGCGGUUACCAUCUGCCCUUUUAACGCAUGGAGUGCUGACGCUUGCUCUCUCCUCCCUCCCUCCCUCUCCAUCCCUCCCUCUCCCUCUCCAUCCCUCCCUCUCCCUCCAUCUCUCUGCCUCUCCUCUUGCUGUCUUUCUUCUCUCUUUAAUCAUCUCCCUCUCUCCCUCCUUCUCGCUUUCUCUCCAGCCAAAGGAGACAAGCUCCACCUACUGGUGAGCAGAGAGGAAAGAGACUGAAACAACGUUCUGUGAUUCCA